rnacentral:rRNA from 1 species
UACAGAGGGUGCAAGCGUUGUUCGGAAUUAUUGGGCGUAAAGGGCUCGUAGGCGGUCUGUCACGUCGGGAGUGAAAACUCGGGGCUUAACCCCGAGCCUGCUUCCGAUACGGGCAGACUAGAGGUAUGCAGGGGAGAAUGGAAUUCCUGGUGUAGCGGUGAAAUGCGCAGAUAUCAGGAGGAACACCGGUGGCGAAGGCGGUUCUCUGGGCAUUACCUGACGCUGAGGAGCGAAAGUGUGGGGAGCAAACAGG